CUUUCAUUUGUGGGUCAUUAUCAUAGUUUGAUGGUGCAUAUAAUUCA
rnacentral:sRNA from 1 species